GGCAGCGUGGCCGAGUUGGUCGAAGGCGUUAGUUUUACGGCUAUCCGAAAGGGCGUGGGUUCGAAUCCCCGCUGUCG
rnacentral:tRNA from 1 species